AAAAGAAGAGAAAAAUAGAUGCAAACAAUGUACUUUACACCGUCAAAGCGUGCGUUUCUAACGGUGUGGGGCAGCCCUCUUGUACGCCUGUU
rnacentral:sRNA from 1 species